rnacentral:rRNA from 1 species
GAUGAACGCUAGCUACAGGCUUAACACAUGCAAGUCGAGGGGAAACGCCAUCGAAAGCUUGCUUUUGAUGGGCGUCGACCGGCGCACGGGUGAGUAACGCGUAUCCAACCUGCCCAUCACUUGGGAAUAACCUUGCGAAAGUAAGACUAAUACCCAAUGAUAUCCCACGAAGGCAUCGGAAUGGGAUUAAAGAUUUAUCGGUGAUGGAUGGGGAUGCGUCUGAUUAGCUUGUUGGCGGGGUAACGGCCCACCAAGGCAACGAUCAGUAGGGGUUCUGAGAGGAAGGUCCCCCACAUUGGAACUGAGACACGGUCCAAACUCCUACGGGAGGCAGCAGUGAGGAAUAUUGGUCAAUGGGCGAGAGCCUGAACCAGCCAAGUAGCGUGCAGGAAGGCGGCCCUAUGGGUUGUAAACUGCUUUUAUAAGGGAAUAAAGUGGGUCACGUGUGACUUUUUGCAUGUACCUUAUGAAUAAGGACCGGCUAAUUCCGUG